rnacentral:lncRNA from 1 species
AGGAAGGAGGUUGACAGCCCUUACGAGGGCAAGAAGAGGCAGGCAGGGCCUGGGGUGGGGGCCCAGCACAUCCUUGGCACAGCAAUAGCCAUGGAGGGCAGCUGGGGUGGGGAUGGGCCAGCGCUGGGGCAAAACAAGAGGCCCCAGAUCUGAGUGGAGUGUGGGCACCUGAGGUCCCCCAGGAGUGGUGGUCAGUAGGUGUGGUCAGGGUCAGUGGGAAGAAGUACCCUGGCCCCUGUCCUGGAGCGGCCCGAGGAGCAAUUCUCCAGGGCACAAUGAGGCACUGCCAUUACCUGGACAGAUGAUAGCGGACCUCCUGCUGGCAGUUAAGGUCAGUGCUAGCCCCUUUCCACGUCCUGGUUCAGAGCUGCUAAGGUAUUUGGGGGCAGAGGUGUGUCCAGAAUCCACCCCAGGUCACACUCCCACGGCACCACCGGUGACCCCUCAGCUCAGGCCCCGGGGCUGCGAGAAUCUCAAGUGUGCAUUCUGUGAAGUGCGCAUUCUGUGAAGUGUGCAUUCUGUGAAGUGUGCAUUCUGUGAGGGCUUCGUGGCUUCUUCCUGGGUGUGUGCUGUCCUGGCUCUGGUGGGGCCACUGGUUGGGCAGGUUCAGGUCUGCAGAGCCCGCCUUGGAGAGAACCCCUUCUCCAGCUGUGGGGGAGCACCCACGCUGCCACCUGUGUCCCUGUGGCGGCCCCUUGCCUGCCUGCACUUGGCUGGCUGGCCCGACACCUUCCUGCCCAGGCCCAUGUGCCUGCUCUGAGUCCCUCCUGUCACAUGGGACCCGGGCAGGCCUGGGCAGCCCCGAGGGCCAGCUGUGCCAAGCGAGGAUGCCACCCUGGUUCCAGGGAGCAGCAGCGCCAUCAGAGAAGGCCCUGCAGGCUGUCGGCCCCCCGGGUCACAGCAGCUUGUUCUGGCAGCCCCUCCUCCCCCAGGGCCCUUGUUCUCCUCGCUGGCUCUUGGCCUAUCCUCAGGCCAUGCCAGUUGCGUCUGUCCCCACGGCCGGUGCCCUCCCUGAGCCCUACACGCCUCGCCCAAGAGCCUCAAGUCCUUCCAUGGAAGUCUGAACCCGAAGGCAAAAGCACUUGGAGGUGGUUCCCAGAAGGCGCCUUCAUCAGUGGACAGAGGGUAGGGAUGGUCCCAGGUGCUCUGUCUCCCAACAUCACCAAGGUCCCCUCAUCCCUGGGGCCCAUGAGCCAGGACGCAGCCCCACCCUGGUCUGUGCCCCUCGGUCCUGGAGUAGGCUCUUGUGUCUCUGAUGAUUUAGGGCAGGCAAGCUUGGCUGUC